AGAGUUUGAUCCUGGCUCAGGAUGACCUGGCGGUAUGCUUAACACAUGCAAGUCGAACGGAGUGCUUCGGCACUUAGUGGCGGACGGGUGAGUAACGCGUGAGAAUCUGGCUUCGGGUUCGGGACAACAGUGGGAAACUGCUGCUAAUACCGGAUGUGCCGCAAGGUAAAAGAUUAAUUGCCCGAAGAUGAGCUCGCGUCCGAUUAGCUAGUUGGUGUGGUAAGAGCGCACCAAGGCGUCGAUCGGUAGCUGGUCUGAGAGGACGAUCAGCCACACUGGGACUGAGACACGGCCCAGACUCCUACGGGAGGCAGCAGUGGGGAAUUUUCCGCAAUGGGCGAAAGCCUGACGGAGCAAUACCGCGUGAGGGAGGAAGGCUCUUGGGUUGUAACCUCUUUUCUCAGGGAAGAACACAAUGACGGUACCUGAGGAAUCAGCAUCGGCUACUCCGUGCCAGCAGCCGCGGUAAUACGGAGGAUGCAAGCGUUAUCCGGAAUGAUUGGGCGUAAAGCGUCCGCAGGUGGCUUAUCAAGUCGAUUGUCAAAGGUCCUGGCUCAACUGGGAAGAGGCAGUGGAAACUGAAAAGCUAGAGUGCGGUAGGGGUAGAGGGAAUUCCCGGUGUAGCGGUGAAAUGCGUAGAGAUCGGGAAGAACACCAGUGCGAAAGCGCUCUACUAGGCCUGCACUGACACUCAUGGACGAAAGCUAGGGGAGCGAAUGGGAUUAGAUACCCUAGUAGUCC
rnacentral:rRNA from 1 species